CUUAUCUAUUUUCCUCCCUCAAAACAAAUAAUUACCAACACAUACGACGGGCGAGUACGAUUCAAUAUAUUCUAGGAGAGGUCGGUCUUGCCCGAUAAAAAACGUGCCAACAUUUUACUCUUCGAAAUUCGUCGUUUUUAAUACGAUUUGUUGUGUUUAAACUCUUAAAAUGGUAUACAAUAUUAAAAUAUAAAAUAUUUGCGUUCAUCUUUCGUAUCCGAAAAUAAUAUCUUUUUUUAAAACUAAAGCCCCGAACUUUUUACUGUUGCGGAAAAAUGUGUUUAUGAGAAAAACGUAAUA